rnacentral:rRNA from 1 species
UACGGGGGGGGGCAAGCGUUGUUCGGAAUUACUGGGCGUAAAGGGCUCGUAGGUUGCCAACUAAGUCGGACGUGAAAUCCCUCGGCUUAACCGGGGAACUGCGUCCGAUACUGGAUGGCUGGAGUUUGGGAGAGGGAUGCGGAAUUCCAGGUGUAGCGGUGAAAUGCGUAGAUAUCUGGAGGAGCACCGGUGGCGAAGGCGGCAUCCUGGACCAAUACUGACACUGAGGAGCGAAAGCCAGGGGAGCAAACGGG